rnacentral:rRNA from 1 species
UACGUAGGGGGCAAGCGUUGUCCGGAAUUAUUGGGCGUAAAGAGCUUGUAGGCGGUUUGUCGCGUCUGCUGUGAAAUUUCGGGGCUCAACCCCGAACUUGCAGUGGGUACGGGCAGACUAGAGUGCGGUAGGGGAGACUGGAAUUCCUGGUGUAGCGGUGAAAUGCGCAGAUAUCAGGAGGAACACCGGUGGCGAAGGCGGGUCUCUGGGCCGUAACUGACGCUGAGGAGCGAAAGCAUGGGGAGCGAACAGG